rnacentral:rRNA from 1 species
AUGGCACCCCAUCCAAUUUGGAAGAAGUUGUGGAGUUUGAGAGUGCCAGGGAAAGUUCAAAUUUAUAUCUGGAGAUGCUUGCACAAUGCCAUCCCAUGCCGGAGUACUCUUAUGAAUCACCAUGUUGGAAACUUGUCCCAAUGCCCAUACUGUACAGAUGGUGCAGAUGACUUAGCCCAUAUGUUGUUUAAGUGUGCAAGUGCGCAAGCAGUUUGGGAAGCUUUGGGAAUCACAGCAGAUAUUAACUUUGCUUCAUUGACUGAUCGAGCAGGUUCAGCAGUCUUGGAGUUUAUUUUAUGUGAUGAUUCUUAUCGACGACAACAUUGUGGAUUGUUCGAGCUACCAGAGCUCAUAUCAAAAGUUUGUUGGUUCUUAUGAUGGCAAAGAAGACAGUUCAUGCGAGGGGAAGAAAUAUUGACUCUAGAACUAACAGCGCCGGCGGUGGUUGCCCUAGCGAUUAAUUAUGUGCGCGUAUCACAAGCUAAAUCUACACCCAAGAUCAACAGGUGGCCGACGUUCCUAGCAGGACAGCUUGUCCUUAUGCUUCAUUCACAGAGGGAGAUUACACUGGGUCUUGUGGUGCUGUCAUCCAUGAUCACCGAGGAUCUUUCAUGUCAGCGUCCACGGCGAGAUUAG